CUACGGAGGGUGCAAGCGUUAAUCGGAAUUACUGGGCGUAAAGCGCGCGUAGGCGGUUUGAUAAGUCGGAUGUGAAAUCCCCGGGCUCAACCUGGGAAUUGCAUUCGAUACUGUCAGGCUAGAGUGUGGUAGAGGGAAGUGGAAUUUCCGGUGUAGCGGUGAAAUGCGUAGAUAUCGGAAGGAACACCAGUGGCGAAGGCGGCUUCCUGGACCAACACUGACGCUGAGGUGCGAAAGCGUGGGGAGCAAACAGGAUUAGAUACCCUAGUAGUCC
rnacentral:rRNA from 1 species